GUCAAACCCCGCUGGCUACCCAGGAUCAGAAUGCAGUUGUCACUCCGAUGACAAGUGCGGUUGGAGCAUCGACUGUUCCGAAGAAGGAUGGAGCGGGCGCUGCGAAAGCUGGCGCAGAGAAGAGGAAGAUCGAUGCGAGGAAGAAGAGCUUGAAGAGAUUGUAGGUUUUAGAUGGUAGAGUGGACUAACAAGGAUUAUGCAUUGUAGGGGCUGGAAUGGGAGGAUAAUAAUGUGUUGGUUUAGUUGUGUGGGAUUGGAGAGGGAGAUGUAUGCUCAGUGGAUUUAUAUGCAGUCUUUAUUUUU
rnacentral:misc_RNA from 1 species